UACGUAGGGGGCGAGCGUUGUCCGGAGUUACUGGGCGUAAAGCGCACGCAGGCGGUCUGCUAAGUUUGGAGUGGCAGUUGGUGGCUUAACUGCCAAAGUGCUUCGAAAACUGACAGACUUGAGGGCUUCAGAGGGACACGGAAUUCCGGGUGGAGUGGUGAAAUGCGUAGAGAUCCGGAGGAACACCAAAGGCGAAGGCAGUGUCCUGGGGAGUACCUGACGCUCAGGUGCGAAAGCCAGGGGAGCGAACGGG
rnacentral:rRNA from 1 species